GGGGAUGUACUGGUUUUGACAGCAAUGAUUCCGGGCGGUAAGCACGUCGGGCUCCCGUGGGCCGGCCCGUAAAUCCUGGUCUGCAAAAAUUCAGUUGCCAACAACAACUACGCACUCGCUGCCUAAUCGACCAAGUCGCUUGGCUUAAUCCCGGCCGCCAAGGCUGCGGCCCGGACGAGUAUCCCGCGGACUUUACGCCUUCUCUGUUCCGAGUUCGGGGUAUCAUUCAAGAAGGAUGCACCGGUGGACUCCUUUCAAGCCGGCCAAGAUUUAAAGGAUAAGCCGCGGCUGGCCCGCCUUCCGGCAGGCCGCGGUCGACAACCAAAGGACGGAUAAGCGUGUAGAAAGCUGCUGGGUACGUUGUUUGGACGGCGGUUCGACUCCGCCCAUCUCCACU
rnacentral:tmRNA from 1 species